rnacentral:rRNA from 1 species
AGAAUCAACGCUGGCGGCGCGCUUAACACAUGCAAGUCGAACGAGAAAGCCGGAGCAAUCUGGUGAGUAAAGUGGCGUACGGGUGAGUAACACGUGGGUAAUCUACCUCUUAGUGUGGAAUAACCCUGGGAAACCGGGGCUAAUACCGCAUAAGCUCGAGAGAGGAAAGCAGCAAUGCGCUGAGAGAGGAGCCCGCGGCCGAUUAGCUAGUUGGUGAGGUAAAAGCCCACCAAGGCAUAGAUCGGUAGCCGGCCUGAGAGGGCACACGGCCACACUGGCACUGAAACACGGGCCAGACUCCUACGGGAGGCAGCAGUGGGGAAUCUUGCACAAUGGGGGCAACCCUGAUGCAGCGACGCCGCGUGAGCGAUGAAGCCCUUCGGGGUGUAAAGCUCUUUCGGCAGGGAAGAUUAUGACGGUACCUGCAUAAGCAGCUGCGGCUAACUACGUGCCAGCAGCCGCGGUAAUACGUAGGCAGCGAGCGUUGUUCGGAGUUACUGGGCGUAAAGGGUGUGUAGGCGGCUUUUUAAGUUUGGUGUGAAAUCUCCCGGCUCAACUGGGAGGGUGCGCCGAAUACUGAAGGGCUAGAGUGCGGGAGAGGAGAGUGGAAUUCCUGGUGUAGCGGUGAAAUGCGCAGAUAUCAGGAGGAACACCAAUGGCGAAGGCAGCUCGCUGGGACGGUACUGACGCUGAGACGCGAAAGCGUGGGGAGCAAACAGGAUUAGAUACCCUGGUAGUCCACGCUGUAAACGAUGGGCACUAGGUGUGGGGGGUGUCGACUCCCCCCGUGCCGACGCUAACGCAUUAAGUGCCCCGCCUGGGGAGUACGGCCGCAAGGCUAAA